rnacentral:rRNA from 1 species
UACGUAGGGUGCAAGCGUUAAUCGGAAUUACUGGGCGUAAAGCGUGCGCAGGCGGCUAUGCAAGACAGAUGUGAAAUCCCCGGGCUCAACCUGGGAACUGCAUUUGUGACUGCACGGCUAGAGUGUGUCAGAGGGGGGUAGAAUUCCACGUGUAGCAGUGAAAUGCGUAGAUAUGUGGAGGAAUACCGAUGGCGAAGGCAGCCCCCUGGGAUAACACUGACGCUCAUGCACGAAAGCGUGGGGAGCAAACAGG